ACUGAUUUGGCAGAUUAGUGCGUUAAAUUUAGGAUUUGAAUAUGUUGUUGAAACAUUCAGUU
rnacentral:tRNA from 1 species